rnacentral:pre_miRNA from 1 species
AUAGCACGUUAUAUCUGUUCUUCUUUGUCUAUCGUUUGGAAAAGAUUGAUGACGCUAUCUACACUUUUCCAAAUGUAGACAAAGCAAAACCGUGAUGACGUCGUAGA